rnacentral:rRNA from 1 species
CGCCUCUUGAGUUUAUAUAAGAGGUCCAGCCUGCCCAGUGACCCUGUUCAACGGCCGCGGUAUCCUAACCGUGCGAAGGUAGCGUAAUCACUUGUUCUUUAAAUGAGGACUAGUAUGAACGGCAUCACGAAGGUUACACUGUCUCCUUUUUCCAAUCAGUGAAUCUAAUCUCCCCGUGAAGAAGCGGGGAUUAAACUAUAAGACGAGAAGACCCUAUGGAGCUUAAAACAAUACAGCACUUGUUAAAAAAUUUAACAAUUCCAGAAUUUCCAGUUUUCUAAACAACAUGACUGUAAGUUUUUGGUUGGGGUGACCACGGAGUAUAACAUAACCUCCACGUUGAAAGAAUUUUAUUCUAAGCCAAAAAUUACAUUUUUAAGCAUCAAUAAAUCGACAUCUAUUGACCCAAUAUAUUUGAACAACGAACCAAGUUACCCUAGGGAUAACAGCGCAAUCCACUUCAAGAGCUCCUAUCGACAAGUGGGUUUACGACCUCGAUGUUGGAUCAGGGUUUCCCAGUGGUGCAGCCGCUACUAAAGGUUCGUUUGUUCAACGAUUAAAACCCU